rnacentral:rRNA from 1 species
UGGGGAAUUUUGGACAAUGGGGGCAAACCCUGAUCCAGCCAUUCCGCGUGAGUGAAGAAGGCCUUCGGGUUGUAAAGCUCUUCGGCAGGAACGAAACCGGUGUGGGCCAAUAACCCCUGCAUCAAUGACGGUACCUGAAGAAGAAGCACCGGCUAACUACGUGCC